rnacentral:tRNA from 1 species
GCGCUCGUAGCUCAGCGGACAGAGCAUCCGGCUCCGACCCGGAAGGUCGCUGGUUCGAUCCCAGCCGGGCGCAC